CGGGGUGUGGCGUAGGCUGGUAGCGCGUUCGGCUGGGGGCCGAGAGGUCGCAGGUUCAAAUCCUGUCACCCCGA
rnacentral:tRNA from 1 species